AGAGUUUGAUCCUGGCUCAGGAUAAACGCUGGCGGCGUGCUUAACACAUGCAAGUUGAACGAACUCUUAAAAGCAAAAAGUUUACUUUUUGCUUUUGGGUGGUUAGUGGCGAAUGGGUGAGUAACAGGUGGAUAAUCUGUCUCUAAGACUGGGAUAACAUUCCGAAAGGGAUGCUAAUACCGGAUAUAACUGAGAAGACACAUGUCUUUUCAAUGAAAGGGGGCUUAAGUAGCGUGCUACUGCUCCCCCUUAGAGGUGAGUCCGCCUCCUAUUAGCUUGUUGGUGAGGUAAAAGCUCACCAAGGCAACGAUGGGUAGCCGACUUGAGAGGGUGUACGGCCACACUGGAACUGAGACACGGUCCAGACUCCUACGGGAGGCGGCAGUGAGGAAUUUUGCGCAAUGGGGGAAACCCUGACGCAGCGACGCCGCGUGGGUGAUGAAGGUCUUCGGAUUGUAAAGCCCUUUCAGACAGGAAGAAUAAGAGGAAAGUGAAUAAUUUUCCUCAGAUGACGGUACUGUCAGAAGAAGCCUCGGCCAACUACGUGCCAGCAGCCGCGGUAAGACGUAUGAGGCGAGCGUUAUUCGGAACUACUGGGCGUAAAGGGGGUCUAGGUGGCUUAAUUAGUCAAAUGUGAAAACUUUCGGCUUAACCGAGAGCUGGUAUUUGAUACUGUUAAGCUUGAGUACAGAAGAGGAGAGUGGAAUUUCCGGUGGAGCGGUGAAAUGUGUAGAUAUCGGAAGGAACACCAGUGGCGAAGGCGGCUCUCUGGUCUGAUACUGACACUGAAGCCCGAAAGCUAGGGGAGCAAACGGGAUUAGAUACCCCGGUAGUCCUAGCUGUAAACGAUGACUACUAGGUGUGGGAAGUAUCGACCCUUUCCGUGCCGAAGUUAACGCAUUAAGUAGUCCGCCUGGGGAGUACGACCGCAAGGUUGAAACUCAAAGGAAUUGACGGGGGCCCGCACAAGCGGUGGAGCAUGUGGUUCAAUUCGACGCAACGCGAAGAACCUCACCGGGGUUUGACAUGUUCUUGAAAGCACAGGAAACUGUUGCCCUCGGACUUCGGUCUGACAGGAUCACAGGUGCUGCAUGGUUGUCGUCAGCUCGUGUCGUGAGAUGUUGGGUUAAGUCCCGCAACGAGCGUAACCCUUGUUGCUAGUUGCUACCAGUUAAUGCUGGGCACUCUAGUGGGACUGCCAGUGGUAAACUGGAGGAAGGUGGGGAUGACGUCAAAUCCUCAUGGCCCUUAUAUCCCGGGCUACACACGUGCUACAAUGGUCUGUACAGAGGGUUGCAAACCCGUGAGGGGGAGCUAAUCCCAAAAAGCAGGCCUCAGUUCGGAUUGAAGGCUGCAAUUCGCUUUCAUGAAGCUGGAAUCGCUAGUAACCGCGAAUCAGCAGGUCGCGGUGAAUACGUUCCCGGGCCUUGUACACACCGCCCGUCACACCACGAAAGUUGGUCAUACCUGAAGCCGAUGAGCUAACCCUUUUUUAGGGAAGCAGUCGUCGAAGGUAGGGCUAGUAAUUGGGGUGAAGUCGUAACAAGGUAGCCG
rnacentral:rRNA from 1 species